ACACCUCUCUCUCUUUCUCUCUUCUCUCAGUCUGAUUUCUUUCUUAUUUUUUCUAUGCAUCCAUAGAUAGAGAUCCUCUCUAUUUAUAGAUAAUUUUUAUGAUCCAAUAAGUAUAGGACUCCUAACUCAAACAUAUUUUGAAUCAGUCUAAUACUCAUAAAAGAAGAACUCCUACAUGAGAUACAAUUGCCAUCAUAUAUAACAACCAUAUUGCACCCAUUCCCACACCCACAU
rnacentral:lncRNA from 1 species